rfam:Picea glauca, whole genome shotgun sequence.
AUGUACAUGCCUACGGUAUAGCGUUAAUGCACCAGAUCUCAUUAGAACUCCACAAUUAAGCACGCUCGGGCUAGAGUAGUACUGGGAUGGGUGACCGCCCAGGAAGUCCUAGUAUUUUACAUG